rnacentral:lncRNA from 1 species
UGCACAUUGAAGUGAGAACAAGAGCAGGUUCUGCCCCUAUAAGUCCCUCAGAAAAAAACAUUGGGAGGGAAUUCCACAGGGACUCUCUACAAGAGAGGUUUCUACAGAAAGAAUUGGACCUGAUGGAGGGUCAUUCUAUCAGAAGGAAUUUUGUAGGUUUCUUCCUUACAAUUAACAUCUCUGAAAGGUGCAGAUACAUGUUAUCUACAGGGUAA